CACUGAUUGAGCACCUGGUGGGAAGGCAGGGCCAAUCCAGGGGAGCGCAGGUGCAGGCAGUGCAGCUGAAUGACCGGAAGGGGUGAAGUCAGGAUUGACCCCUUCCCAGACCUUAUUCAAGGGAUGGCAGUGGAGGCAAAGGUAUCUCGCUGGAGAUCCUUCUGUACCUGAAGCCUUCUGCACAUGAGGAUGACAGGAACUGCAAUGCCUCGGGGGAACUGCAACCACUUCUGGGGAGGCAGAGAGCUGUGUGUAGGGAAGCUUCCACCAAGAACUCCAUGUUUGAUACUUAUAGAAUCAUAGAACAUCUGAGCUGGAAGGGACCCAUAAAGAUCAAGUCCAGGAUCUACCCAGGGCCACCUGAAAAUAAAACCAUAUGUCUGAGCAUUGUCCAGAAGCUUCUUGAACUUCUGCAAGUUUUGUGCCAUCACCACUGCUACAGUGAGCCUGACCAUCCUCUGAUGAAGAAGAUAAAGGGCUUCUUGGAGUUUUUCCAAUAACAAUGAUCCUCAGGGCAAAAAGGGUUUCUAAGCAGCAUAAAUGCAGCAGG